rnacentral:rRNA from 1 species
UACGGAGGGUGCGAGCGUUAUCCGGAAUUACUGGGUUUAAAGGGUGCGUAGGCGGCUUGAUAAGUCAGGGGUGAAAGCCUGUCGCUCAACGAUAGAAUUGCCUUUGAUACUGUAAAGCUUGAAUCGGGUUGAGGUCAGCAGAAUGUGGCAUGUAGCGGUGAAAUGCAUAGAUAUGCCAUAGAACACCGAUUGCGAAGGAAGCUGGCUGGGCCUGCAUUGACGCUGAGGCACGAAAGCGUGGGGAGCGAACAGG